rnacentral:rRNA from 1 species
UACGUAGGGACCAAGCGUUGUUCGGAUUUACUGGGCGUAAAGGGCGCGUAGGCGGCGCUGUAAGUCACUUGUGAAAUCUCUGAGCUUAACUCAGAACGGCCAAGUGAUACUGCAGUGCUAGAGUGUGGAAGGGGCAAUCGGAAUUCUUGGUGUAGCGGUGAAAUGCGUAGAUAUCAAGAGGAACACCUGAGGUGAAGACGGGUUGCUGGGCCAACACUGACGCUGAGGCGCGAAAGCCAGGGGAGCAAACGGG